rnacentral:rRNA from 1 species
CCUACGGGGCGCAGCAGUGGGGAAUAUUGCACAAUGGGGGGAACCCUGAUGCAGCGACGCCGCGUAGGUGAAGGAGUACUUCGGUACGUAAAGCCCUAUCAGCAGGAAAGAAAAUGACGGUACCUGAAGAAGAAGCCCCGGCUAACUACGUGCCAGCAGCCGCGGUAAUACGUAGGGGGCAAGCGUUAUCCGGAUUUACUGGGUGUAAAGGGGGCGCAGACGGCGAUGCAAGCCAGGAGUGAAAGCCCGGGGCCCAACCCCGGGACUGCUCUUGGAACUGCGUGGCUGGAGUGCAGGAGGGGCAG